rnacentral:rRNA from 1 species
GAUGAACGCUGGCGGCGUGCUUAACACAUGCAAGUCGAACGAAGCACUUUAUUUGAUUUCCUUCGGGACUGAUUAUUUUGUGACUGAGUGGCGGACGGGUGAGUAACGCGUGGGUAACCUGCCUUGUACAGGGGGAUAACAGUUGGAAACGGCUGCUAAUACCGCAUAAGCGCACGGCAUCGCAUGAUGCAGUGUGAAAAACUCCGGUGGUAUAAGAUGGACCCGCGUUGGAUUAGCUAGUUGGUGAGGUAACGGCCCACCAAGGCGACGAUCCAUAGCCGACCUGGGAGGGUGACCGGCCACAUUGGGACUGAGACACGGCCCAAACUCCUACGGGAGGGAGCAGUGGGGAAUAUAGCACAAUGGGCGAAAGCCUGAUGCAGCGACGCCGCGUGAGCGAAGAAGUAUUUCGGUAUGUAAAGCUCUAUCAGCAGGGAAGAUAAUGACGGUACCUGACUAAGAAGCACCGGCUAAAUACGUG